rnacentral:rRNA from 1 species
UACGUAGGGUGCAAGCGUUGUCCGGAAUUAUUGGGCGUAAAGAGCUCGUAGGCGGUUUGUCGCGUCUGCUGUGAAAACCCGAGGCUCAACCUCGGGCCUGCAGUGGGUACGGGCAGACUAGAGUGCGGUAGGGGAAAUUGGAAUUCCUGGUGUAGCGGUGGAAUGCGCAGAUAUCAGGAGGAACACCAAUGGCGAAGGCAGAUCUCUGGGCCGUAACUGACGCUGAGGAGCGAAAGCAUGGGGAGCGAACAGG